AUGAAUGGACUUUCAUCUAGGGAGAAGUCUGUGGGGUAUGCUUUAUACUGGCCUCAUGAUGGCACAAGAAGAAAUUCUGCAGCAGCCUUUGCUGCCAUGAAGACCCGUCGCCCUAAACAGGAAGUUAUUAAAGCUCUACUGGACAAGUACAACGAGGACAAUGAUCUUUUAGGGGAUCUUGCAUAUCGACUAGAAGAAAUAGUGAGAUAUAAACCAUGUUUUGACGGGAAAGACUGUGAUUAUAGGUCAUAUUCACAUUUGAAUAUGACCAUAAAGACUAAAGGAGCCGAUGAUCCCCGCAAGAAGCUGUAUUUUGCUGAAGUCACUUGUAUGAGAGGCGAACAUGAAGAGUAUGUGCUCACCUGUAUCUGCGCAGUUGAACCUGAUGCCAAUGGUGAAUGCCUUGUGUGUGGAGAUCAAAUGAAGCACCCCAUUGAUGCUAAAUACAACCAUGGUCGCUCCACGCCAAUCUUUAGAUGUUGUUCCCAUGCAGAUGCAAAAGCCUUGGGUGACGAGUUAAUUACCGUGCAUGAUGAGGCUUGGCUGGAAAAGGAGGAAGCUAGGGUGAGACGAGUGUUCGAGGAAGUGGCUGAGGAUAUCAAGAAGGAGAAAGCAGCGAAACUGGCCGAGGCUAUCAAGGAGGAGAAAGCAGCGAAGCUGGCUAAGGCUAUCAAGGGGGAGAAUGCGUUAAAGGAAGUGAAUGAGGCUACGGAGGUGGGCACCAUAGGGCAUGGCCAUGCAAAGAGCGCCAAGUAUGUAGUACCGGCUAGACGAAAAUGA
rnacentral:rRNA from 1 species